AACGCGAAGAACCUUACCUGGGUUUGACAUACACCAGAAAGCAGCAGAGAUGUUGCCCCCCUUGUGGUUGGUGUACAGGUGGUGCAUGGCUGUCGUCAGCUCGUGUCGUGAGAUGUUGGGUUAAGUCCCGCAACGAGCGCAACCCUUAUCUUAUGUUGCCAGCGCGUUAUGGCGGGGACUCGUGAGAGACUGCCGGGGUCAACUCGGAGGAAGGUGGGGACGACGUCAAGUCAUCAUGCCCCUUAUGUCCAGGGCUUCACACAUGCUACAAUGGCCGGUACAGAGGGCUGCGAUGCCGUGAGGCGGGGCGAAUCCCUUAAAGCCGGUCUCAGUUCGGAUCGGGGUCUGCAACUCGACCCCGUGAAGUUGGAGUCGCUAGUAAUCGCAGAUCAGCAACGCUGCGGUGAAUACGUUCCCGGGCCUUGUACACACCGCGAGC
rnacentral:rRNA from 1 species